AGUCGAGCGGUAAGGCCUUUCGGGGUACACGAGCGGCGAACGGGUGAGUAACACGUGGGUGAUCUGCCCUGCACUCUGGGAUAAGCUUGGGAAACUGGGUCUAAUACCGGAUAUGACCGCAUGCCGCAUGGUGUGUGGUGGAAAGAUUUAUCGGUGCAGGAUGGGCCCGCGGCCUAUCAGCUUGUUGGUGGGGUAAUGGCCUACCAAGGCGACGACGGGUAGCCGACCUGAGAGGGUGACCGGCCACACUGGGACUGAGACACGGCCCAGACUCCUACGGGAGGCAGCAGUGGGGAAUAUUGCACAAUGGGCGGAAGCCUGAUGCAGCGACGCCGCGUGAGGGAUGAAGGCCUUCGGGUUGUAAACCUCUUUCAGCAGGGACGAAGCGUGAGUGACGGUACCUGCAGAAGAAGCACCGGCUAACUACGUGCCAGCAGCCGCGGUAAUACGUAGGGUGCGAGCGUUGUCCGGAAUUACUGGGCGUAAAGAGUUCGUAGGCGGUUUGUCGCGUCGUUUGUGAAAACCCGGGGCUCAACUUCGGGCUUGCAGGCGAUACGGGCAGACUUGAGUGUUUCAGGGGAGACUGGAAUUCCUGGUGUAGCGGUGAAAUGCGCAGAUAUCAGGAGGAACACCGGUGGCGAAGGCGGGUCUCUGGGAAACAACUGACGCUGAGGAACGAAAGCGUGGGUAGCAAACAGGAUUAGAUACCCUGGUAGUCCACGCCGUAAACGGUGGGCGCUAGGUGUGGGUUCCUUCCACGGGAUCUGUGCCGUAGCUAACGCAUUAAGCGCCCCGCCUGGGGAGUACGGCCGCAAGGCUAAAACUCAAAGGAAUUGACGGGGGCUCGCACAAGCGGCGGAGCAUGUGGAUUAUUCGAUGCANNNGAGANCUUACUGGGUUUGACAUACAC
rnacentral:rRNA from 1 species